GACGAACGCUGGCGGCGUGCUUAACACAUGCAAGUCGAACGAAGAGCGAUGGAAGCUUGCUUCUAUCAAUCUUAGUGGCGAACGGGUGAGUAACGCGUAAUCAACCUGCCCUUCAGAGGGGGACAACAGUUGGAAACGACUGCUAAUACCGCAUACGAUCUAAUCUCGGCAUCGAGGAUAGAUGAAAGGUGGCCUCUACAUGUAAGCUAUCACUGACGGAGGGGAUUGCGUCUGAUUAGCUAGUUGGAGGGGUAACGGCCCACCAAGGCGAUGAUCAGUAGCCGGUCUGAGAGGAUGAACGGCCACAUUGGGACUGAGACACGGCCCAGACUCCUACGGGAGGCAGCAGUGGGGAAUCUUCCGCAAUGGACGAAAGUCUGACGGAGCAACGCCGCGUGAGUGAUGACGGCCUUCGGGUUGUAAAGCUCUGUUAAUCGGGACGAAAGGCCUUCUUGCGAAUAGUGAGAAGGAUUGACGGUACCGGAAUAGAAAGCCACGGCUAACUACGUG
rnacentral:rRNA from 1 species